rnacentral:rRNA from 1 species
UACGUAGGGUGCGAGCGUUAAUCGGAAUUAUUGGGCGUAAAGCGUCCGCAGGUGGCGAUUCAAGUCUGCGGUCAAAGACUGGGGCUUAACCCUGGAAAGGCCGUGGAAACUGAAAAGCUAGAGUGCAGUAGGGGUAGAGGGAAUUCCCGGUGUAGCGGUGAAAUGCGUAGAGCUCGGGAAGAACAUCGGUGGCGAAAGCGCUCUGCUGGACUGCAACUGACACUCAGGGACGAAAGCUAGGGGAGCGAAUGGG